rnacentral:lncRNA from 1 species
GCUAUAAAUAAGCUUUCACUGUAAGUUGCUGUUAGCCUCUGGGUACUUGUAUGAACUAUGAUAUAACCAACUCUGUUGAUUAAUAAUACGUUUUGUAACAGGUCUCUACUAGGAAGAUUUGUCCUGGCAUAGUCACUCAGCAAAAUUUACCACCUUAGAAAGCUAACAUAUGGUCAAUUUAACCAGACUGGGAGCAUAUUGAGGAUAGACAUCACCACAUUCAUCUUUGUCUAGCUUGAUAGAGGCUCAGCAAACUUGUCAGAGGGUUGACAACUUGAUGUCAUUGUCAUCUCUAUUUAUAUUAUCUUCACCAUUGCAGGGGUGGAGGGGGCUGAAACUACAUUUCCUAGAAUUCCUUUCCCAUAUUGUUCUAGGCUAGAAGCCCCCAUUGAGAGGAAUUUGCAUAUAUCUUGACAAAUCAAGGAGAAGCCAUUAUUCUGGCAGCUGCGAAAGAAUCUGCUUGAAAAUCUUCCACCUUGAUGCAGACACCAGGAGCAGUGGCUUCCCUGAUUUUUGUGCCCCCAACCCAUCCACCAAUUGUAAAAGCCUCUAUUUUCCUGCAUAAAAACCCUUUCUACUUGGAACAUUUAACGCAGUUUCUGUUUUCCUCAUCUCAGCUGGACUGGAAUGAACACUUUAGUGAAAAGAAGAAAGGAAGUCAGAAAAUAGGGAAGGAGAAAGGGAGGAAAAGAAGGAGAAAGGAAGAGAGGGACGAGAUCACCUCCUUGGUUUUACACAGCUACAUAGAGCCAGGGUAUAGAUGAGCCCGUGGAUUCUCCUGGACCAACUGAGGAAACAAACAGCAAGGGGAGAUAGAAGCCUGAUCCAGUACUCAGAGAAGCUGAGGAAGAAAAACAAAAAUGGAUGAAACACUGACAGUUGCAGACUUUUAUUUGAAGUUGUAAAAUCUAACGAAUAAAUACGAUGUCAGCAGAAUCUAUGAUUUCUUU